rnacentral:rRNA from 1 species
CAACCUGCCUGUAAGACUGGGAUAACUCCGGGAAACCGGGGCUAAUACCGGAUAACCCUUCGGACCUCAUGGUCCGGAGCUGAAAGACGGUUAUGCUGUCACUUACAGAUGGGCCCGCGGCGCAUUAGCUAGUUGGUGAGGUAACGGCUCACCAAGGCRACGAUGCGUAGCCGACCUGAGAGGGUGAUCGGCCACACUGGGACUGAGACACGGCCCAGACUCCUACGGGAGGCAGCAGUAGGGAAUCUUCCGCAAUGGACGAAAGUCUGACGGAGCAACGCCGCGUGAGUGAAGAAGGUUUUCGGAUCGUAAAACUCUGUUGUUAGGGAAGAACAAGUACGAGAGUAACUGCUCGUACCUUGACGGUACCUAACCAGAAAGCCACGGCUAACUACGUGCCAGCAGCCGCGGUAAUACGUAGGUGGCAAGCGUUGUCCGGAAUUAUUGGGCGUAAAGCGCGCGCAGGCGGUCUUUUAAGUCUGAUGUGAAAGCCCCCGGCUCAACCGGGGAGGGUCAUUGGAAACUGGAGGACUUGAGUGCAGAAGAGGAGAGCGGAAUUCCACGUGUAGCGGUGAAAUGCGUAGAGAUGUGGAGGAACACCAGUGGCGAAGGCGGCUCUCUGGUCUGUAACUGACGCUGAGGCGCGAAAGCGUGGGGAGCGAACAGGAUUAGAUACCCUGGUAGUCCACGCCGUAA